AUUGAACGCUGGCGGAAUGCUUUACACAUGCAAGUCGAACGGCAGCAUAGGUGCUUGCACCUGAUGGCGAGUGGCGAACGGGUGAGUAAUACAUCGGAACGUGCCCAGUCGUGGGGGAUAACGUAGCGAAAGUUACGCUAAUACCGCAUACGAUCUAAGGAUGAAAGCGGGGGACCGUAAGGCCUCGCGCGAUUGGGGCGGCCGCUGUCAGAGUAGGUAGUUGGUGAGGUAAAGGCCCACCAAGCCGACGAUCUGUAGCUGGUCUGAGAGGACGACCAGCCACACUGGGACUGAGACACGGCCCAGACUCCUACGGGAGGCAGCAGUGGGGAAUUUUGGACAAUGGACGCAAGUCUGAUCCAGCCAUUCCGCGUGCAGGACGAAGGCCUUCGGGUUGUAAACUGCUUUUGUACGGAACGAAAAAGCUCUUACUAAUACUAGGAGUCCAUGACGGUACCGUAAGAAUAAGCACCGGCUAACUACGUGCCAGCAGCCGCCGUAA
rnacentral:rRNA from 1 species